rnacentral:lncRNA from 1 species
GGAGGACGUUGGCGCGAGGCGGUGUUCUCGGCGACAUGUCGACCACGAGAACAGGCAAGGAGCUCGUCGCGCGGUGGAGGUGCUCUGCACUACAUGCUGGUGAGGGCAGCAGGCCCGCCUCGACGCGCUGCCAUGGUCGUCGCUUGUUGCACGCCGCGUCCUCUGCUGUUUCGUGGUCGGUCUCUUCUGAUCCCUCGAUGCUUGUGUGGGACAGGAGCGAGGUCUGGAGCUGAGACACUUUCCUUGACCGUGGAGCCUUCUUGUGAGUGGACGAGUCUUCGGAGUCGGAAAGCACGCGCGAGCUCGGACUGAAC